GACCACAGUUUCCUGUCGCGUGGAUGUGUUUCCUCUCUGGCCAUUGCCAUCCGCCCAAAUCUACAGACAUCCCGCAUGUUCCCGGGCUCGUCUCCCCAAUACAGGGCACCAAGGCUGUAGACUGCGCAGCCCUCCUGGAGACAGAUGGAAGCUCCUUGGGUCGACAGAUUACAGCUUCUGGAACCCCCUACUCCCUUCAACUCCGAGAUGGACACCCACUGUCCAGGGAGAGGAUGCCUGGAAAUAACAGCUGGGAUCUACAGUGGCCAAAGAGUUGUCUCCGUCUUGCUACAUCGACAAACUGGUGCUCCUGACCACUUCGGAAGCGUUUUCCUCUCCACUCUGACAACAGGCAAGAGUGAGGGUCCAACAAUACAGAGGAAGUAACGUGUCGCUGCUACUCUUCCAUGCCCAGUGCCAGGAGCGACGGUACACUCCAGAGUGCUGUGCCCUGAUGGGCCUUUGAGUGGCCAGUGCAGUGGAUCAUCAGCCCUGUCUCCCAAGAGCUCCAGUCCCUUCUCCGGAGAGGAAGUGGGUCCACUGGCAGCUCAGGAGGCCAUAGCAGAUUGUGGGGCUCUGUGCAGUUGAUGUUAGUUAACCACUGGAUCCACGUGUUCACCGUGGCUUGCGCCCCUGCAUCCGAAAGUGAUCUUGGCUGCCGUGUCCUGGUCAUUGGUAGUGCAGGGAAAGGAUGCGGAAAGACGGGCUCCGAGCUCGGGGCGUCUGGCCUGGAGCUUUCCUACACUUGUGUCUUGCUCUGCAGCCUUACGGAAGUGUGGGUGGCGCUUUCUGGAAGCUGCACAAGAUUGUCACGUGUGCUCAACAGUCCUCCUCGGCUUUCCAGAAGAGGCUGGAACAGGGCCCUUGAAGAUGUUUGUGGACAUCAGAGGGCCAAAGACGACACAAAGUGAAACUGGAGACACCGCCCCCCCUUGGCAUCAUGAAACUGCCGAUGUUACUGGCUCAUGCAUGGGAGACACCAGCAUACAAAGUCUUGACACCAACACCUCAGAGGGCUGUGUUCUGUCCCCGUGACCAUCAUCUAGUGCCUGGAAAGACUAGUGACAAGAACUUGUUGCCAACUUCCUAUUACCUCCCUAACAGUUGUGCAAUAAACCCCAUAGGUUAAUUCA
rnacentral:lncRNA from 1 species